rnacentral:RNase_P_RNA from 1 species
UGAGCAAGUUGGAUGGCCGCGUGCGACAUAAGUCGCAUGAGGAAAGUCCGAGCUCCAUAGGGCAGGGUGCCGGGUAACACCCGGUGGAGGUGACUCCAAGGAAAGUGCAACAGAAAUAUACCGCCUGGCACUCAACUGAACGUAUUAUUCUUUCUCCUCUAUUCUUUUUAAUGCGUUUAGUUGAGUGCCGGGUAAGGGUGGAAAGGUGAGGUAAGAGCUCACCAGAGACCAGGCAACUGGUCUGCUCUGCAAACCCCACCUGGAGCAAGGCGAAUAGGAGGGAGUAGGUGGCCCGCCGUUUCCCUCGGGUAAUGCCGCUGGAGAUGUCAGGCAACUGACAUCCUAGAUAGAUGGCCAUCCUCGACAGAACUCGGCUUAUAGACUUGCUCACAUG